GGAGGAAAGUAGGGGAUCGAAAGACCUUGCGCUUUUGGAGCGGCCGAUGUCUGAUUAGCUAGUUGGUGGGGUAAGGGCCUACCAAGGCGACGAUCAGUAGUUGGUCUGAGAGGACGACCAGCCACACUGGGACUGAGACACGGCCCAGACUCCUACGGGAGGCAGCAGUGGGGAAUUUUGGACAAUGGGCGCAAGCCUGAUCCAGCAAUGCCGCGUGAGUGAAGAAGGCCUUCGGGUUGUAAAGCUCUUUCAGUCGAGAAGAAAAGGCUGCAGUGAAUAACUGUAGUUUAUGACGGUAUCGACAGAAGAAGCACCGGCUAACUACGUGCCAGCAGCCGCGGUAAUACGUAGGGUGCGAGCGUUAAUCGGAAUUGCUGGGCGUAAAGGGUGCGCAGGCGGUUUUGUAAGUCAGAUGUGAAAUCCCCGGGCUUAACCUGGGAAUUGCGUUUGAAACUACAAAGCUAG
rnacentral:rRNA from 1 species